rnacentral:lncRNA from 1 species
GGCCGGGGCGGGGAGAGGAGAGAGGGAGGGAGGGGACACGGGCGGGGAGAGGAGGAGACGCGGCAGCCGCGGAGCAGUGAGAUGGCGACGGAGGUGGCGGCUCCUCAGCGCCGGCGCCUCGUCCUCUGCCUCAAGCACUGACGCACCCGCCCGGCUCGACCCACAGCUGAGGGAAGCAGCUGUGCCCGGCAGCGACUUGGCGAGAGGUAGGAGAAAGGCAGAGGAGUUUCCAAGUACCGUUUUUGAUCUUAUAAAGCACACAGCUACAUUUGACAGCAUAUAACCAUGGCAUAUAAUGUGGACAGAAAGCUUCCAAAGUUGACCAAAUGAGAAGUUACUCACAUGAAAUAUCCCCAAAUGCAGAAAUUCAAUACAAAGCUGUGUGAUUUACUCAAAAGCCAUAGAAGACAACAUAAAACUAAAGGCAGAAGUAUUGUCAGUGGAAGCAAUGAAGCUUCAUGAAGAACUUAAGCUAUUCAAAAUGAUGAAAAAGUCAAGCAUGUGUGAAUGGAAGCAGAACAAUGACAUCUUUACAGGACAGUUUUCAUUGCUGUUUUGUGAAAAAUGUUAAGGCUCAUUUUUCUGAGCCUUAACAUCUGAGCCUCUGAAAAUGCAAUGUUUUCAGUUGCACCUGAAAUAAAUUCCCUUUAUACAGAUGGAGGUAUAGAAGUUUUGACAUGCAUGUGUGGCUUUUUGCUCACUGACAGAUUGGGCUAGAAUUGAGAAGUCAUGAGAGGAAUUAGUCCAUGGCUGUUCUCAAUAUUGUAAACGUGUUUGUGAAGUAAGUUCAGUAUAAUCAUGCUUGUUAUCUUUUUUGAUUGUGUACAGUUUAAGAGUAAUUCAUUGCAAUCGUGUUGUAAAGUAUGGUGACACGGCAGCAUUUCCCUGAUCAACAUACUGCUGAAUUUUCAUAUUUAGAAAUACUAUUGUCAGGGAUUUAGGAAGCUGGAUUCUAGCCAGAGAACAAAGAAUCACUGAAUCCAACUAUGCAAGGAGAUUCUACACACGCAAGUCAGAGACUGUUAAUUAUCGCUUUUAAUUGCAGGCUCUCAUCUCUGUUUGG